AAGCUCUGUCAGAGCUUUUUUUAAUAUCCUAACAAAUCUGAAUUCUUGUUUAUUCAAUAAAAAUAAGCUAUAAUAGAGCGUAGCACUUAAAGUUAGAAAGAAGGUGUAAGU
rnacentral:sRNA from 1 species